UACGUAGGCAGCGAGCGUUGUUCGGAGUUACUGGGCGUAAAGGGUGUGUAGGCGGUUCUUUAAGUUUGGUGUGAAAUCUCCCGGCUCAACCGGGAGGGUGCGUCGAAUACUGAGGGACUAGAGUACGGGAGAGGAAAGUGGAAUUCCUGGUGUAGCGGUGAAAUGCGUAGAUAUCAGGAGGAACACCGGUGGUGUAGGCGGCUUUCUGGACCGUAACUGACGCUGAGACACGAAAGCGUGGGUAGCAAACAGG
rnacentral:rRNA from 1 species